UACAGAGGUCUCAAGCGUUUGUUCGGAUUCAUUGGGCGUAAAGGGUGCGUAGGUGGCGCCAUAAGUCAGGUGUGAAAUCUCGGGGCUCAACCUCGAAACUGCACUUGAUACUGUGGUGCUGGAGUACUGGAGAGGAGAUUGGAAUUUACGGUGUAGCAGUGAAAUGCGUAGAUAUCGUAAGGAAGACCAGUGGCGAAGGCGAAUCUCUGGACAGU
rnacentral:rRNA from 1 species